GACGAACGCUGGCGGCGUGCUUAACACAUGCCAGUCGAACGGAAAGGCCCUGCUUUUGUGGGGUGCUCGAGUGGCGAACGGGUGAGUAACACGUGAGUAACCUGCCCUUGACUUUGGGAUAACUUCAGGAAACUGGGGCUACUACCGGAUAGGAGCUCCUGCUGCAUGGUGGGGGUUGGAAAGUUUCGGCGGUUGGGGAUGGACUCGCGGCUUAUCAGCUUGUUGGUGGGGUAGUGGCUUACCAAGGCUUUGACGGGUAGCCGGCCUGAGAGGGUGACCGGCCACAUUGGGACUGAGAUACGGCCCAGACUCCUACGGGAGGCAGCAGUGGGGAAUAUUGCACAAUGGGCGGAAGCCUGAUGCAGCAACGCCGCGUGCGGGAUGACGGCCUUCGGGUUGUAAACCGCUUUCGCCUGUGACGAAGCGUGAGUGACGGUAAUGGGUAAAGAAGCACCGGCUAACUACGUG
rnacentral:rRNA from 1 species